UUGGAGGGCAAGUCUGGUGCCAGCAGCCGCGGUAAUUCCAGCUCCAAUAGCGUAUAUUAAAGUUGUUGCAGUUAAAAAGCUCGUAGUUGAAUUUCGGGAUCAGCAUGUCGGUCGUGCCUCUGGUACGUACUGGUAUCGUUGAUUUCUACCUUCUGACGAACCGUGAUGUCAUUAAUUUGGUGUCAUGGGAAAUCAGGACUGUUACUUUGAAAAAAUUAGAGUGUUUAAAGCAGGCACACGCUUGAAUACAUUAGCAUGGAAUAAUGAAAUAGGACGUUUGACCCUAUUUUGUUGGUUUCUAGGAUCGACGUAAUGAUUAGUAGGGAUAGUUGGGGGCAUUAGUAUUCAAUUGUCAGAGGUGAAAUUCUUGGAUUUAUUGAAGACUGACUACUGCGAAAGCAUUUGCCAAGGAUGUUUUCAUUAAUCAAGAACGAAAGUUAGGGGAUCGAAGACGAUCAGAUACCGUCGUAGUCUUAACCAUAAACUAUGCCGACUAGGGAUCGGAUGAUGUUAAUUUUUUAAUGACUCAUUCGGCGCCUUACGGGAAAC
rnacentral:rRNA from 1 species